rnacentral:misc_RNA from 1 species
UCAAACUUGGUCAUUUAGAGGAAGUAAAAGUCGUAACAAGGUUUCCGUAGGUGAACCUGCGGAAGGAUCAUUAUUGAAUAACUUGGUGUUGAGCUGGCCCUACUCGGGCAUGUGCUUGCAUCAUAUUAUUUAUCUAUCUCUUGUGCACCUUUUGUAGUCUUUGAAGUGUUCGCAGUCAAUGCGGUAUUGGGUCUUGGGCUUUGCCCUGUUCCCUGUUAGCUUCAAGGGCUAUGUUUAUAUACACUAGUUUGAAGUCACAGAAUGUAUCUUAUUGACUUUCGAGUCGGUAAAUCUAUACAACUUUCAGCAACGGAUCUCUUGGCUCUCCCAUCAAUGAAGAACGCAGC